rnacentral:rRNA from 1 species
UACGAAGGGUGCAAACGUUGCUCGGAAUUAUUGGGCGUAAAGCGCACGUAGGCGGCUUAGCAAGUCGGAAGUGAAAGCCCUUGGCUCAACCAAGGAAGUGCUUUCGAAACUGCUGAGCUUGAGUAGUUAAGAGGAUCGCGGAAUUCCCGGUGUAGAGGUGAAAUUCGUAGAUAUCGGGAGGAACACCAGUGGCGAAGGCGGCGAUCUGGGAACAUACUGACGCUGAGGAACGAAAGCCAGGGGAGCGAACGGG